GUAGACGUGUAAACAUUGUGCUGCCGGUUUUGUCAACUUUUCUUUAAUUAAUACUUGAUUUUAAUACUUGUCAAGCUAAGGCCUGUGUGUUAAACUGCCGCUGAUUUUCUGCAUUUAAGCAAACGUUGUUUUUCGCGCUGAAAUUGAAAUAAUUGGAAAUUGAAAUAAUUCUAUUUGCAUUAUGUCGGUCGAAAAGAAAGUAACAAGAAGUGCAAAGUUGUCCCCGCCGAAGGGUAACACCCCCCAUCAUGGUAAAUGCCGAGAUGGUGAGAGUUUGCAAACUGCACAUUGGCUACAACAGCUGGAGGCGAAAAUGGAAAAACAAAAGCAGGGCAUGAUAGAACAGCUGAGUGGGAGUAUAAAGAGCACUGAAGAGAGACUGAUGCAGAGAUUUAAUGAGAUUUCAGCGGAGAUGCAGAGCAUUAAGACUACGGUAAAGUUCUUGGAAGUGAGGCUGACUGCUGUGGAAUCGACGUGUGAGGCGAUUGCUUCUCUCAAAGCUGAAGUGCUAGCGCUGAAAAGAGAGUCGGCUCGGUAUGAAAAUGAGACCGUUGCUACUGACUUGAUCAUCAACGGCAUACCUAAAGCUCGUCGGCGAUUUCAAGCAUCCGUUGUUGGUUACCCCAGCAACCGAGGCAAUCGGAGAUCGUCGUGUCACACGUACUUGUUGUCGGCUCGUGUUGAUGGAAAAUCAAAAAUUUUUGAUUUUCCAUCAACGCGACCGCUUGACAAGCGGUCUGUUUGAUAGUGGCGCAAAGCGUUGACAAGCAUUAUGGCAAGUAGCAAAAAAUCGUCAUCCGAUGAAGACAUGUUUACGUCCG